rnacentral:misc_RNA from 1 species
GAUGAAGAACGUAGCGAAAUGCGAUACUUGGUGUGAAUUGCAGAAUCCCGUGAACCAUCGAGUCUUUGAACGCAAGUUGCGCCCGAAGCCAUUAGGCCGAGGGCACGCCUGCCUGGGCGUCACACGUCGUUGCCCCCCCAUCUACUCCUUCGGGAUUGCGGGGGGCGGAUGAUAGCCUCCCGUGCGCCUCGCCGCGCGGUUGGCAUAAAUGCCAAGUCCUCGGCGACGCACGCCACGACAAUCGGUGGUUGCGAAACCUCGGUUGCCCGUCGUGUGCGGUCGUCGCGCAUCGAGGGCUCGAAAAAAUUGCCGGGUUCCGGCUCGGCUUUCAACGCGACCCCAGGUCAGGCGGGGUUACCCGCUGAAUUUAAGCAUAUCAAUAAGCGGAGGA